AGUGAACGCUGGCGGUAGGCCUAACACAUGCAAGUCGAACGGCAGCACAGUAAGAGCUUGCUCUUACGGGUGGCGAGUGGCGGACGGGUGAGGAAUACAUCGGAAUCUACUUUUUCGUGGGGGAUAACGUAGGGAAACUUACGCUAAUACCGCAUACGACCUACGGGUGAAAGCAGGGGAUCUUCGGACCUUGCGCGAUUGAAUGAGCCGAUGUCGGAUUAGCUAGUUGGCGGGGUAAAGGCCCACCAAGGCGACGAUCCGUAGCUGAUCUGAGAGGAUGAUCAGCCACACUGGAACUGAGACACGGUCCAGACUCCUACGGGAGGCAGCAGUGGGGAAUAUUGGACAAUGGGCGGAAGCCUGAUCCAGCCAUACCGCGUGGGUGAAGAAGGCCUUCGGGUUGUAAAGCCCUUUUGUUGGGAAAGAAAAGCAGCAGGUUAAUACCCCGCUGUUCUGACGGUACCCAAAGAAUAAGCACCGGCUAACUUCGU
rnacentral:rRNA from 1 species